UUUGUGUGCACCGGCCUUCGCGGGAGCCUGGCGUGGCAGUUAAGACCGCAAGAGAACCCCAGUCCCACGGCAGACUUGGGAAAUCAUUCAUUCACCCUGAGUCUUACCUUCCCCCUCGAGUUGGCCGAUCUGGAAACCAAACAAGGGCCCUGGAACUUCUCUCGGACUUUUGGAUAGAAGUAACAGAUUUUAAGGCUCAGGACUGGGACACCUCCGUUCUCGCUGUGGACUCCCUGUGACUUCAGGGGGGUCAGGGCCUCUCUGCGCACCCUGGCUGAAAGGGGUGGGCUGGACGACCCUCAUGUCCCGCUGCUGCUCCUUAGUCACCCGGUUCCCAGUGGGGCUCCGGGCUCCCAGUUGUCCCCCGGGCCCCGUGAGACAGCACUGUUCAUCCUUAGCUGCCAAGACCUCCUCCCUCCAGCCUGAGGGGUGUGGCUUUACCCUGGGCCACCCUGACAGGGCCAUGGAUCUCCCUCCGACACCCCUCCAGAGACCACACCAGGGCCCGUCCUCCAGCAGGGCUCAGAGUCUGUGGGAAUGGGCCUGCGUUUCCUGGGGAAGCAGAGGCCCCUGGAAGACCAGCCGGAGCUGCAGAUCUAAGUGGAUGACAGUAGUCACGGUGCGAGAGGCGAGCAUCUGGAAACAUCAGGAUUAGACAUGUGUGGGCCAAAUAUGGAUGUGAUAGGUCCCAGGUGAAGGGGCCACAGCGGUGGCCUCAUCACAUCCUUCUCUCUGCUCAGAAGAAAGUCGAGUGAGCCACCCCUGGUCACACAGCAAGCUCAUGCUGGGGCAUUUUGGAAGACAGGAAGAGCAGGAGCAAAGAGAUGAAGACUUCCAUGUUCCACAAGGGUCAACUGAGUCACCAUAAUGAGAGAAGGCAUGGGAAAGCAUCUAGUCUUGUGGUGCAUAGUAGAUGCUUAAUAAAAGCAGAUUUAUUCGAUGCCAAACUC